AAAGGUAAGCUACUAAGAGCGAAUGGUGGAUGCCUUGACUGGUAAAGGCGAUGAAGGACGUACUAGACUGCGAUAAGCUACGGGGAGCUGUCAAGAAGCUUUGAUCCGUAGAUUUCCGAAUGGGGCAACCCAAUGUAUAGAGAUAUACAUUACCUAUAUAGGAGCGAACGAGGGGAAUUGAAACAUCUUAGUACCCUCAGGAAAAGAAAUCAAUAGAGAUUGCGUCAGUAGCGGCGAGCGAAAGCGUAAGAGGGCAAACCCAGUGCUUGCACUGGGGGUUGUAGGACUGCAAUGUGCAAGAGGUGAGUUUAGCAGAACAUUCUGGAAAGUAUAGCCAUAGAGGGUGAUAGUCCCGUAUGCGAAAAACAAACCUUAGCUAGCAGUAUCCUGAGUAGGGCGGGACACGAGAAAUCCUGUCUGAAGC
rnacentral:rRNA from 1 species